ACGGCUCAGUAACACGUGGAUAACCUACCCAAUAGUCUGGGAUAACCCUUGGGAAACUGGGGAUAAUACCGGAUGGAUCAUCUUUGCUGGAAGGCUUGGUGGUUGAAACGCGAGGCUGUUGGAUGGGUCUGCGGCUGAUUAGGUUGUUGCCGGUGUAAUGUACCGUCAAGCCUGUAAUCAGUACGGGUUGUGGGAGCAAGAGCCCGGAGAUGGAUUCUGAGACACGAAUCCAGGCCCUACGGGGCGCAGCAGGCGCGAAAACUCUACAAUGCAGGCAACUGCGAUAGGGGAACAUCGAGUGGCGUCCAUAUUGGAUGUCUGUCCACCCGCCUAAAAAGCGGGUGUUAGCAAGGGCCGGGCAAGACCGGUGCCAGCCGCCGCGGUAAUACCGGCGGCUCGAGUGGUGGCCGAUAUUAUUGAGUCUAAAGGGUCCGUAGCCGGCUUUGCAAGUCUCUCGGGAAAUCCAGCGGCUUAACCGUUGGGCGUCUGGGGGCUACUACAUUGCUUGGGACUGGGAGAGGCGAGAGGUACUCAGGGGGUAGGAGUGAAAUCCUGUAAUCCUUUGGGGACCACCGGUGGCGAAGGCGUCUCGCCAGAACAGGUCCGACGGUGAGGGACGAAAGCUAGGGGCACGAACCGGAUUAGAUACCCGGGUAGUCCUAGCCGUAAACGAUGCUCGCUAGGUGUCACAACAGUCGUGAACUGUUGUGGUGCCGUAGGGAAGCCGUGAAGCGAGCCACUUGGGAAGUACGACCGCAAGGUUGAAACUUAAAGGAAUUGGCGGGGGAGCAC
rnacentral:rRNA from 1 species